rnacentral:sRNA from 1 species
GGUGUUUGCAGCUGAUGCUCCGGGUCAAUGAGUACCGCUUUGCUUGGGUGGAAGCAGAUGGGGUAAAUUGCAUAAUGGGAGUGUUGAGUAACAAGUGUGGCUUUCAGCUCCAGUAUCAAAUGAUUUUUUCAAUAUGGCUCCUGGCAUUCAGUCCUCAAAUGUGUGAACACCUGCGGCGCUAUAAUAUCAUUCCAGUUCUGUCUGAUAUCCUUCAGGAGUCUGUCAAAGAGAAAGUAACAAGAAUCAUUCUUGCAGCAUUUCGUAAUCUUGACAAAACUUUUGGAAGUGUCAGAUGAUCCCCAAGUCUUAGCUGUUGCUGCUCACGAUGUUGGAGAAUAUGUGCGGCAUUAUCCACGAGGCAAACGGGUCAUCGAGCAGCUCGGUGGGAAGCAGCUGGUCAUGAACCACAUGCAUCAUGAAGACCAGCAGGUCCGCUAUAAUGCUCUGCUGGCUGUGCAGAAGCUCAUGG